AAAAUUUACCCUUCAUUUUUCCUGGAAGCAUACGCUUUACACCUCAAACAUGCAUUCAUUUUUAGGUCAUUUAGCAUUUGCAUUUCAUCAUGGCAAUCGGAAUAUUUAAAAAAAAAAAAAAACGAAAAAAACGAAGAAAAAAAACGAAAAAUAAAUAAAAUAAAAAAAAAUAAUUAAAUAAAUAAAUAAAUAAAAGAAAAAAUCUCGAACUUGGACCUCUCUCAAAAGCCCACUAAGCUACCAAUAUUAGCCUAUAAAUACUAGAGUUUCAUUGAAACAAAACAGACAGAAAAAGGAAGGGAAGCAAAAAAACACUCUGAGGUUUCCUUGGAACAUAGAGUUUCAUUGAAACAAAACAGACAGAAAAAGGAAGGGAAGCAAAAAAACACUCUGAGGUUUCCUUGGAACAAAACCCUGGACAAAACCUGGAGAGAAACCUGACAGAGAACUCAGAGCAGCCUCCAAACCCUGAAGGGAACUCAACUGCACAGAAUCACCUCUGCCUUACAUAAACCCUAAAGAUUGUUU
rnacentral:lncRNA from 1 species